GUGCCAGCAGCCGCGGUAAUACGUAGGUGGCAAGCGUUGUCCGGAUUUAUUGGGCGUAAAGCGCGUGCAGGUGGUUUCUUAAGUGUGAUGUGAAAGCCCACGGCUUAACCGUGGAGCGUCAUUGGAAACUGGGUGUCUUGAGUGCAGAAGAGGAAAGCAGAAUUCCAAGUGUAGCGGUGAAAUGCGUAGAGAUUUGGAGGAACACCAGUGGCGAAGGCGACUUUCUGGUCUG
rnacentral:rRNA from 1 species